rnacentral:rRNA from 1 species
UACAGAGGUCCCAAGCGUUGUUCGGAUUCACUGGGCGUAAAGGGUGCGUAGGUGGCGGGGUAAGUCUGAUGUGAAAGCUUCGAGCUCAACUCGAAAAUGGCAUUGGAUACUAUUCUGCUAGAGGGUUGGAGGGGGGGGACUGGAAUUCUCGGUGUAGCAGUGAAAUGCGUAGAUAUCGAGAGGAACACCGGUGGCGAAGGCGAGUCCCUGGACAACACCUGACACUGAGGCACGAAAGCUAGGGGAGCAAACAGG